AAUCACCUCGAUCAAUCCCUACCGUCCAUCUGCGUCUGUCCUGAUCCAUAUCCUCCAUCCAUUCGCCAGCGACGUCCAUCCAUCCGCCAUGGAUUGUCCGCUUCCUCCUCCUCGCGCGAUGACCUUGCGCUGACCACGCUGGACUCGCGCUCCUCCUCACGCCGAUUCUUCGCGCCCCUCCUCAGUCCAACGCUGCUCCCACCGGCGCUCCUCCUCCUCCGCCCUAUUCCUCCUCGCAUUCCCCGUUCGCGCCGCCGGAGGGUCGUCCCCUUCCGCCGACGCCGCCGUACUCCACCGAUGCCCUCGCCGGAACCGAUUUCUUCCCCUUCCGCCGGCGCCGCAAUCCACAUCCUAGGUUCACAGGUCCUCGCCGGAACCGAUUUCUUCCCCUUCCGCCGUGCCGCCGUCGCCGCAAUCCACUUCACAGAUCACUGGAGGCUCUAA
rnacentral:lncRNA from 1 species